rnacentral:rRNA from 1 species
UACGGAGGGUGCAAGCGUUAUCCGGAUUCACUGGGUUUAAAGGGUGCGUAGGCGGGUAAGUAAGUCCGUGGUGAAAUCUCUGAGCUUAACUCAGAAACUGCCGUGGAUACUAUUUGCCUUGAAUAUUGUGGAGGUGAGCGGAAUAUGUCAUGUAGCGGUGAAAUGCUUAGAUAUGACAUAGAACACCAAUUGCGAAGGCAGCUCACUACACAAUCAUUGACGCUGAGGCACGAAAGCGUGAGGAUCAAACAGG